rnacentral:rRNA from 1 species
AUUGAACGCUGGCGGCAUGCCUUACACAUGCAAGUCGAACGGUAACGGGCCUUCGGGUGCCGACGAGUGGCGAACGGGUGAGUAAUGCAUCGGAACGUACCUUUCAGUGGGGGAUAACGUAGCGAAAGUUACGCUAAUACCGCAUAUUCUGUGAGCAGGAAAGCAGGGGAUCGCAAGACCUUGCGCUGAUUGAGCGGCCGAUGUCAGAUUAGCUAGUUGGUGAGGUAUAGGCUCACCAAGGCGACGAUCUGUAGCGGGUCUGAGAGGAUGAUCCGCCACACUGGAACUGAGACACGGUCCAGACUCCUACGGGAGGCAGCAGUGGGGAAUUUUGGACAAUGGGGGCAACCCUGAUCCAGCCAUGCCGCGUGAGUGAAGAA